AUUUUCACGUCCAGGUAUUGUUCUUGCAGCCUCGUUGGCAAUUCUAAUCCACUCAGGAGUUCCAUCUUGAAUCUUGCCAAGAAUGCACCCUUUUGUUGAAGGUAGGUUAGCCAAUGGUCUAGAAUGCAAGACCUCACAUAAUUUGAGAGAUCGGGGACCUGUUUCUUCGAGCUUUCUUUCCCUCUCAUUCCAUAUAUUGAGUAGUUCUUUUGAAGGCGCUGUUCCAAUUAUUCCAGGAUGAAUUAAACCAGGAAAUCUUACACCUGGUAUAUGAGGUGAGUAGGCAUAUAUGCCUUCGAAAUACCAAAUAGCUUUAGUUGCACGGGGAAAAUGGUCUGUUAGAAAUCCUCCACCGUUCUCUCUGUCGAAUAUUGCUGUAAAACCCCAUUCAUCUCCAGGGAGAGGCCCUAAGUUGCAUAUUUCAACAGCAAGGAGAUCACCUGGUUCAGCAGGAUUUCCAUCUGUGUCAACGACUCGUAUUGGCCCACUGAGAUAAUGCACAGUGGAUAGAUCAACGGUUUUUACAUCAAUUGCAGAGUUAUUAUCUUGGAUAGAGCCUGCUGUCCAAUCAACCAUCUCAAUUCGGAACAUCUCCCCUGUUUUAAUCUCUGUUACAGGAGGUAUCUCUGGGUGCCAACGGUUGUGGAGUGGCAACUUUUGUUGCCAUGGCUUUUUCUUUAGGUCUAUGGGGAUUACUAGUCUUGGA
rnacentral:misc_RNA from 1 species